rnacentral:lncRNA from 1 species
AAGGAGUUGAAGAGAAUAAGUUUAAAGGUAAGAUUUAGGUUGUUAAAUGUAUAAAUGUAUGUUAAUUGAACUUAAUUUCAGUUUUGAUGAAUGUUAGGGUUUUGAAAAUUUGUGUUUUGGGUUUAAUUGAUGAAUUAAAUUGAAUGUUAUAAGGUUGAUUGUUAUGGGUAAUUGAUUAAUGAGUUGAUUAUGGAAGAUUGUGAUGAUUUUGAGUUAUGAAUUGUGUAAAUGGUGAAUGUUGAGUUAGAAAUUUGGCAAGAACAGUAGGUAAUCUGUGAGAAUUCUGGGUUUGAGGUUGAAGAUGACAAAAUUUCGGUUUGGUCCCUCAAUUUUGGAAAAUUACAGUUUAGUCCCCAAACUUUGGAAAAUUACAGAUUGGUCCCUGGAGCAUAUUCCGAGAUUCUGAACAGAAUAAAAGAUGAAUUAUAGGCAGAAUUACUGUAUAGAUAUGAAAAUUUAACACUUUCAAUUUGGUCCUCUAAUUUGACCCUAAAAAUUUGGUAAAAUUCCAGAAUGGUCCCCGGAGUAUAAUGAGAUGAUCUGGACAGAAUUGAGGAUUAAUUAUGGUUAGAAUUUCAGUAUAGUCAUGGAUUUAUGACAAUUUUAGUUUGGUCAUUCAAUUUGACAAAAGUUACAAUUUGACCCUUAAAAAUAUGAUAAAUUACAUAUUGGUCCCUAGCUGUAAUAUUAACUUUUUCAGAUUGGUUUGAUGAAUAAUUGACGGUUAUUUAGUGAAUUAUUACCAAUUUUAUUAUUUGUUUAUUUAUAGAUUAGAUUUCGGGAAAACCGUUAAAUGUUGGGUUUUUAGGAAAAAUAACUAGUUUAGUCUAAAAACAUAUAGGGUUAUGGAAUACACCCUUAGAUAAGUGUAUUAAAUAGGUUAUAUGUUCUUUUGAGUCAUUCUUGAAUAUGUCUCAUUUGUAUUCAGAUAAUCCUGAUAUUCUACCGGCGGGACGUCAGUAGGAUUUCCUUCGAUAUCAGCUUUGAGUUUUGUUGCUUUCGAGUCAAGUGAGUGGAUAAUUUUUCAUAUGCAUGAGAAAUAUUAUAAAUAUUUGAUUUUUUAAUAUGAAUUGGAUCAUGCUUCUUGAUAAUAUAUAUGUUGAUUAUUAUCCUUGUUUUGAUAAAACAUGAUCAAUUGUUGAAUCUGAAUUCUUGAUAUGAACCAGUAUAUAUUUUGAAUUGAAUUCUGAAUUGAUAGCUCCUCAUUUGAUUGAUGUCAUGAGUUGAGCCUUGAGAUAUGAUUAUGAACCUAUGGUAUGUCAGUCAGAAUACCCAUGCUAACAGGAUAGUGUUAGUCUUUGUGCACAUCGUAUCUGAACCCUAGUUGGUCGGGGGAGUCACCAACCUAUGUGGAUUGAUCAUCCCACAGUACGAAGCCUCAUGCUCAUUGCAUUUUGAUUUUCUGACGAGUUUUACCAUAUGAUCUUCUUGUUAUGGCCUAUUUGAGAAACCUUUCUAUAAGAACCUAAGACCGUACUUGUAUAUAUAUUUCUCAUUGUUAUAUUACCUCGUGUGUGUAUAUUGAACGUUAUCUACUCACUGAGUUGUUGAACUCACCAUCUCAUUAUUUAUUCUUUUCAGGCUUAUAGCUUGAUAGCAGGUCACUUUUGUUGGACCUUAAGAACUUGCUCUUUUGGUUGUAAUUUGUACAUUUUUCUUUAUGUCUAGUUAAUGCUCCAAAACUCUGAACUUAUAUAAACUCUUGUAUUAAGACAAUUCAAUUAUAUUAUGAAG